GACGAACGCUGGCGGCGUGCCUAAUACAUGCAAGUCGAGCGGACCGGAUUGGGGCUUGCCUUGAUUCGGUCAGCGGCGGACGGGUGAGUAACACGUGGGCAACCUGCCCGCAAGACCGGGAUAACUCCGGGAAACCGGAGCUAAUACCGGAUAACACCGAAGACCGCAUGGUCUUCGGUUGAAAGGCGGCCUUUGGGCUGUCACUUGCGGAUGGGCCCGCGGCGCAUUAGCUAGUUGGUGAGGUAACGGCUCACCAAGGCGACGAUGCGUAGCCGGCCUGAGAGGGUGACCGGCCACACUGGGACUGAGACACGGCCCAGACUCCUACGGGAGGCAGCAGUAGGGAAUCUUCCGCAAUGGGCGAAAGCCUGACGGAGCGACGCCGCGUGAGCGAAGAAGGCCGUCGGGUCGUAAAGCUCUGUUGUGAGGGACGAAGGAGCGUCGUUCGAAGAGGGCGGCGCGGUGACGGUACCUCACGAGAAAGCCCCGGCUAACUACGUG
rnacentral:rRNA from 1 species